AGGACGUUCUUGCAGAAGCAUUAAUGAAAUUAGGAAUCCAUUCUGUGCCCACCAUACACUUCUUUCAGAACGGGAAAAAGGCAUCCGAGAUGGUCGGUGCUGAUGUUAAGCAGUUGAACGCGACUAUGGAAGAAUUGUACAAGUGAGUUUCUGCAUAUAUGGAAGUAAUCUUACCACGGAAUAUACAGUGGUUUUGAUUAGAUUUUGGUUUAGAAUUUAUUUUCUUCAAAUUUAAUACUAUAUGCUGUGAAACGUUAAGGGUUUUACUUUUUCGUUGAAUAUAUCCUGUAAAGUCUGUUUGAGUUUGACAUACUUUGUCGUUAAUGGAUGUUGAUAUGAAGUGAUUUUCAGGAGAUAUAUCCUUUCUUCAAA